rnacentral:rRNA from 1 species
CAGCAGCCGCGGUAAUACGGAGGGUCCGAGCGUUAUCCGGAAUUAUUGGGUUUAAAGGGUCCGCAGGCGGGCAAUUAAGUCAGGGGUGAAAUGGUACGGCUCAACCGUAGCACUGCCCUUGAUACUGGUUGUCUUGAGUCAUAGUGAAGUGGCCGGAAUAUGUAGUGUAGCGGUGAAAUGCAUAGAUAUUACAUAGAACACCGAUUGCGAAGGCAGGUCACUAACUAUCGACUGACGCUGAUGGACGAAAGCGUGGGGAGCGAACAGGGUUAGAUACCCUGGUAGUCCACGCCGUAAACGAUGAACACUCGUUGUCUGCGAUAUACUGUAGGCGACUGAGCGAAAGCAUUAAGUGUUCCACCUGGGGAGUACGUUGGCAACAAUGAAACUCAAAGGAAUAGACGGGGGCCCGCACAAGCGGAGGAACAUGUGGUUUAAUUCGAUGAUACGCGAGGAACCUUACCCGGGUUUAAAUGCAGGACGAAAUUCCGAGAAAUUGGAACCCCUUCGGGCGGACCGCAAGGUGCUGCAUGGCUGUCGUCAGCUCGUGCCGUGAGGUGUCGGGUUAAGUCCCAUAACGAGCGCAACCCCUAUUGUCAGUUGCUAACAGGUAAUGCUGAGGACUCUAACGAGACUGCCACCGUAAGGUGUGAGGAAGGUGGGGAUGACGUCAAGUCAGCACGGCCCUUAURUCCGGGGCUACACACGUGUUACAAUGGUCGAUACAAAGGGCAGCUACACAGCGAUGUGAUGCAAAUCUCAAAAAUCGAUCUCAGUUCGGAUUGAAGUCUGCAACUCGACUUCAUGAAGGUGGAUUCGCUAGUAAUCGUGCAUCAGCAACGGCACGGUGAAUACGUUCCCGGGCCUUGUACACACCGCCCGUCAAGCCAUGGAAGCUGAGGGUACCUGAAGUCUGUAACCGUAAGGAACGGCCUAAGGUAAAAUUAGUAACUGGGGCUAAGUCGUAACAAGGUAACCGUA